GUGCUCGAAAAAAGGAAAACUAGUUUGCAUCUCCCUCUACAUGGAUGGAAUCAACCUUCUUGGGAGUGGACUAGUUGGCUGGGCGGCCUAGAUUUUUU
rnacentral:ncRNA from 1 species